UUUUCUUAUUGAGAAGGAUUCCCAUACGGUAACAGGCCUUUAAUGAUACUCAUGACUCAGAAAUAUUUGCCGAUGCAGUCAAACGGUGUCUAUUAACGUGAGUCACUGAAGUUAAUUGACUAAAUGAAGUCAAGUAUCUAUGUGGGCCCCUCGUUACACAGAUCACAUGUUAGGGACCAACCUCUCAAAGGUCAAAAAACAGCACUGAUAAUUCACACUCUUUCUGCUGGGCCAACACUUAUCUGUAGCAUCACGUUUUUCGUUGACAACACAACAAACGUUUCCAGAAAGUACUCAAUGCAACCUAACUACUACAGUGAUGCAAAGCAAGCCACAUCAAAGCAGCCUACCACCCAGACACGCACCUGGAAGCUGCCUUGCUGCUCACGUUGAAGAAAAUAGAUUAAAAAAAAA